UGUGUGCCCCGCUCCUGGUCUUCAGCACAAGCCACACCACCGGAGUACUCCCCGUCUAAAAGUACUCCCUAAGACCACAAAUAAGGCGGUGCGUGGGAAAGAUGCUUGCUGAAAGCGCCAAGGCUGCUGCGGUCUGAAGGCACUGCCCGUCCUCCGGAACAGAUUGUACCUUCCCUCCUUCCUCCUCCAAUACUGAGCCCAUUAGUAAUGGCUAGUAAUUAACACUUCCUCGUUAGGCACUGACACUUUUUUUUUAAAUUAUCACUUCGCAGAUGCAGAAACUUAGUUGGAUUUUAUAAUAUCACUGAAUGCAGCAGUGCACACAAACACACAUGCACAAAAGAAUUACUGCAUACUAACAUUCACCUCGACAAGUAAUUUCAGCUAUUAAAUUUAUACCCACUUCUGUUAGACUAAUGAAGGAAUUAGCAAUAAAAUAAUAUUGAAGUUAAUUCCACUCAAAUUAUUAAUACUCGAGUAUUGCUAAUUAUAAUUGGUAAUAUGAUCAUGAAUAGUCAUUAUUAACAUGAAAGUGUUAUUGCUGAUAUUGAAGUCCUCCACUUCUUGAUCUAUUUUAAAUGAUACAAGAAACGUGUUCCCAUGCUGAUCCAUGGCGUCUGUAUCAAACCUACCAAAAACAAGUGUAGCACCUUGGAUUCUUGCCUGCAGUUUACCAGCAGCUAUUUUGCCCCACCUCUCACAGCCAUCCUUCAGAAGCAUGAACCAACUUUUCACUUCACUCGUGAACAGUAAAUAAUUCAGUGACACAAGACUGGAUUAAAUCAGAAGACCAAAAUCCCUGUUCAGAAGGAACAAGUGUGUUAGGCACGCUACAUCAGUGAUGGUAUCAGAAGCAUUCCGAAGAGCAGUGUGACAGCAGUGACACAGCUCAGCCCUCUGCAGUGAUACCUGCCUGAGCGAGCCCUGCUAGCUACACUGCACUACAACACAGCCUGCAGGCACCUCACAGUCUGGCUUCUUGGGUUCCACAGAGGGUUUCAUUAACAAAUGCAUCCCAAAGGGAUUUGGAAGGCACUUUGCAGAUUUGUAGGUGAGGCAGUAAUCAGCAGCUCUAAGCUGAAGCUCACUUGAAGAACAGUUCUUCAAACAAACCGCUCAGUCAAUGACAGUGAGUGACUCCACUGGUUUCUGAAUUACAGCCUUAAAGGAACCACACAGGAAAAAUCCAGAUAAUCUAAAAACAAGUAAUGUGGCUAAUCCUUAACUAGUCAAUUCUGCUAACAUUCAUAUCAAUUGUCUUGAUUUCAUACAGACAUUGAACACACUGUUUUUAUUCUGAGACCAGGCAGUAAACAGGCAACUCCUAAGGUUGUUGCAAAUAAUCAACAAAAGAAGGCUUGGACAACUGAAUUAUUUGGGCUUCCCGAGCAUUUUUUCUUUGGAGAGCCACAUUCCAAGAAGAUAUUGGUUGAUGUUUCUCUCUGCAGAAAUCUGUGGUAAAAUUUGAAUUAAUAAAAACCUAAGUAAACCUUUAAGAGUUUUACUUGCUUUAAGAGUAGUGCUUUAAGAGUUUUAGUGCUUUAAGAGUAUUACUGAGUUGUGGGUUUGUUUGUUGUUUUUAGUUUAUAAAAAACACAAAUAAAUCCAAUCCUGAGCUCUGGCAUUAAGUGCCAAAUUCCUACAGGUGCAGAAUGUCUUCAUCUUUCCAUGCCAUGUCAGAAAAGAAAAAGGGAUAUCACCUAUUUCUGGAUCCCACACAAAUGGAUGCGUGAAGAAGAGAAUGCACAAGAGACAAGAGGAAUUAAAAGUUCCAGCUUACCAGAUGACAGUGUUUGCUACUACUCCUGGCUUUAGAAGCCACUGGAAGCUGCUGCAAAAUAGAGGAGCCUUCCAAAACUUGCUGCUAUUGGCUGACUUGGUGGCUACGCAGCUCCACAAGUCAAGUCCAAAAGCUUCCUUUAUGUCAGCCCUCCCUGCUGCUCUGAGUGGCUCCUAAUGCUAAGUUUCAGCAUACAGAAUUCUAAAUUCCUGAAAUGUCAUUCUGUCCACAAAGUAUUCAAUACACUCUUAAUAGUUCACCUAAAAAAAUAAAACUCAUGGAUAAUUUUUUCCCACUGACUCACUCCGAA